UGGAGGGCUGAGAAGGUGAGGCAGUUCUACACUGUGCUGUCUUCCACUGGUUAAGUCCUCCGAAAGUGAAGGGCUGCCCAGGCAGAGGAUGUCCCUCUGCCACUCUCAGAGGGGCAGCGCUGUGCUGGCCGACAUUUG
rnacentral:snoRNA from 1 species